UACGUAGGGGGCAAGCGUUGUCCGGAUUUAUUGGGCGUAAAGAGCGUGUAGGCGGCCAGGCAGGUCCGCUGUGAAAACUCGAGGCUCAACCUCGAGAGGUCGGUGGAAACCGUCUGGCUAGAGUCCGGAAGAGGAGAGUGGAAUUCCCGGUGUAGCGGUGAAAUGCGCAGAUAUCGGGAAGAACACCCGUGGCGAAGGCGGCGACCUGGACGGGACAGUGACGCUGGAGACGCGAAAGCGUGGGGAGCAAACAGG
rnacentral:rRNA from 1 species